rnacentral:rRNA from 1 species
UACGGCUCAGUAACACGUGGAUAACUGCCCUAAGGAAGGGGAUAACCUCGGGAAACUGAGGAUAAUACCCUAUAGGAUACCGAUGCUGGAAUGCCCGGUAUCCCAAAGCUCCGGCGCCCUAGGAUGGAUCUGCGGCCGAUUAGGUCGUUGUUGGGGUAACGGCCCAACAAGCCGAUAAUCGGUACGGGUUGUGGGAGCAAGAGCCCGGAGUUGGAUUCUGAGACACGAAUCCAGGCCCUACGGGGCGCAGCAGGCGCGAAAACUUUACAAUGCGGGCAACCGUGAUAAGGGAACCUCGAGUGCCUGUACAUGCAGGCUGUCUGGGUGUCUAAAACACACCCAAAGAAAGGGCCGGGCAAGACCGGUGCCAGCCGCCGCGGUAAUACCGGCGGCUCGAGUGGUGGCCACUUUUAUUGGGCUUAAAGCGUUCGUAGCUGGGUUGUUAAGUCUCUUGGGAAAUCUGGCAGCUUAACUGUCAGGCGUCUAAGAGAUACUGGCAAUCUAGGAACCGGGAGAGGUGAGGGGUACUUCGGGGGUAGGAGUGAAAUCCUGUAAUCCUCGAGGGACCACCUGUGGCGAAGGCGCCUCACCAGAACGGCUUCGACAGUGAGGGACGAAAGCUGGGGGAGCAAACCGGAUUAGAUACCCGGGUAGUCCCAGCCGUAAACGAUGCGCGUUUGGUUGUCGAUGACCACGAGUCAUCGAGGUGCCGAAGGGAAACCGUGAAACGCGCCGCCUKGAAGU